UCAGCCACUGUGUCCCCUCCUU
rnacentral:miRNA from 1 species